GCCUGUCUGGCUCAGUUGGUAGAGCAUGAAACUCUUGAUGUCAAGGUUGUGAGUUCGAACCCCACACUGGGUG
rnacentral:tRNA from 1 species